UACGUAGGGGGCAAGCGUUGUCCGGAAUUACUGGGCGUAAAGAGCUCGUAGGUGGUUUGUCGCGUUGUUCGUGAAAACUCACAGCUUAACUGUGGGCGUGCGGGCGAUACGGGCAGACUGGAGUACUGCAGGGGAGACUGGAAUUCCUGGUGUAGCGGUGGAAUGCGCAGAUAUCAGGAGGAACACCGGUGGCGAAGGCGGGUCUCUAGGCAGUAACUGACGCUGAGGAGCGAAAGCGUGGGGAGCGAACAGG
rnacentral:rRNA from 1 species